rnacentral:rRNA from 1 species
ACCAGCACCUCAAGUGGUCAGGAUGAUUAUUGGGCCUAAAGCAUCCGUAGCCUGCUUUGUUAGUUUUCGGUUAAAUCUGUACGCUUAACGUACAGGCUGCCGGGAAUACUGCAAAGCUAGGGAGUGGGAGAGGUAGACGGUACUCGGUAGGAAGGGGUAAAUCCUUUGAUCUAUUGAUGACCACCUGUGGCGAAGGCGGUCUACCAGAACACGUCCGACGGUGAGGGAUGAAAGCUGGGGGAGCAAACCGGAUUAGAUACCCGGGUAGUCCCAGCUGUAAACCAUGCAAACUCAGUGAUGCAUUGGCUUGUGGCCAGUGCAGUGCUGCAGGGAAGCCGUUAAGUUUGCCGCCUGGGAAGUACGUACGCAAGUAUGAAACUUAAAGGAAUUGGCGGGGAGCACCUCAAGGGGUGAAGCCUGCGGUUC